rnacentral:pre_miRNA from 1 species
CUCACAGAGGCUCUUAACCUGAGAUUCAGACAGCUGCUUGUACUCAUUUAGCUGCUUGAUCCACUGGUCCAGCUCCUUGGUGAA